rnacentral:rRNA from 1 species
AGGGCACCACCAGGAGUGGAGCCUGCGGCUUAAUUUGACUCAACACGGGAAAACUCACCCGGCCCGGACACUGGAAGGAUUGACAGAUUGAGAGCUCUUUCUUGAUUCAGUGGGUGGUGGUGCAUGGCCGUUCUUAGUUGGUGGAGUGAUUUGUCUGGUUAAUUCCGAUAACGAACGAGACUCUAGCCUACUAAAUAGAUCGUCGGCUUACAAACGCCGGCGAGACUUCUUAGAGGGACAGGCGGUGAUUCAACCGCACGAAACAGAGCAAUAACAGGUCUGUGAUGCCCUUAGAUGUCCGGGGCCGCACGCGCGCUACACUGAAGUGAUCAGCGUGCUUUUUCAACCUACUCUGUCAAGAGUGGGGAACCCAAUGAACCUUCUUCGUGAUUGGGAUAGGGGAUUGUAAUUAUUCCCCUUGAACGAGGAAUUCCCAAUAAGCGCGAGUCAUAAGCUCGCGUUGAUUACGUCCCUGCCCUUUGUACACACCGCCCGUCGCUACUACCGAUUGAAUGUUUU